rnacentral:tRNA from 1 species
GCCGACUUAGCUCAGGGGUAGAGCGUUUCCUUGGUAAGGAAGAGGUCGUGGGUUCAAAUCCCAUAGUUGGCU